GACGAACGCUGGCGGCGUGCUUAACACAUGCAAGUCGAACGGAAAGGCCCUGCUUUUGUGGGGUGCUCGAGUGGCGAACGGGUGAGUAACACGUGAGUAACCUGCCCUUGACUUUGGGAUAACUUCAGGAAACUGGGGCUAAUACCGGAUAGGAGCUCCUGCUGCAUGGUGGGGGUUGGAAAGUUUCGGCGGUUGGGGAUGGACUCGCGGCUUAUCAGCUUGUUGGUGGGGUAGUGGCUUACCAAGGCUUUGACGGGUAGCCGGCCUGAGAGGGUGACCGGCAACAUUGGGACUGAGAUACGGCCCAGACUCCUACGGGAGGCAACAGUGGGGAAUAUUGCACAAUGGGCGGAAGCCUGAUGCAGCAACGCCGCGUGCGGGAUGACGGCCUUCGGGUUGUAAACCGAUUUCGCCUGUGACGAAGCGUGAGUGACGGUAAUGGGUAAAGAAGCACCGGCUAAAUACGU
rnacentral:rRNA from 1 species